GUGCCAGCAGCCGCGGUAAUACGGAGGGUGCGAGCGUUAAUCGGAAUUACUGGGCGUAAAGCGUGCGUAGGCGGUUCGUUAAGUCAGAUGUGAAAGCCCCGGGCUUAACCUGGGAACUGCAUUUGAAACUGGCGGACUAGAGUUGAGUAGAGGGGAGUGGAAUUUCAGGUGUAGCGGUGAAAUGCGUAGAUAUCUGAAGGAACACCAGUGGCGAAGGCGACUCCCUGGACUCAAACUGACGCUGAGGUACGAAAGCGUGGGUAGCAAACAGGAUUAGAAACCCCGGUAGUCC
rnacentral:rRNA from 1 species